AUGCACUGCCCCGACGAUCUGUCAGCCACCAUGGCUACUACCCUCGGCUGUCCCAUCUCCUCCUUCCCUCAACCCUACCUGGGUCUCCCCCUCUCCCCCUGGAAACUUCCCAUCUCCGCUUACGACCCUCUUAUCCGCUCCUUUGACCGUUACCUCUCUGGUUGGCGUGCCCUCCUCCUGUCGUCAGGGGGUAGGAUGGUCCUUUGUAAUGCCGUUCUCAACAACCUCCCCACCUACUUCAUGUGCUCGUACUUGCUUCCCUCUGGUGUGAUUGAGUUGAUUGAUAGUAGGCGUCGUGCCUUUUUUUGGACCGGCAAGGAUACUUGCUCCGGUGCGUGUUGUCUAAUUGCUUGGGAUAAAGUGUGUGCAGAUGUGCAGGAAGGCGGCUUCGGGAUCCGGGAUCUCCGUCGGCAGAACAUGUGUCUGCUCCUCAACUUCGUCCACAAGCUUCAUCAACCCGACUGUCCGCCGUGGAAACGGUGGUUUCUCAGCACCACCAGGAGAGAUGUUGGCGACCCCUGCUCGGCUCCUUCUUUCCUUGGGGCCAUCAUUCUCAGCGGCCUCCCGACGUACAGGUCUAUCACCCGCGUGGAUCUCCGCGACAGGCGCGCCACCUCGUUCUGGCACGACCGUUGGCGGCCCGGCCGCGCCCUCUGCUUUGAGUACGCGGCAUUGUACUCUCACUCGACGCGCCCGAACGCCUCGGUGGCAGCAGUGUCCGCUGACGGUCUGCACCUCCAGAGGUGCCUCUCCUCCGUUGCCGCUUCCCAGCUUGCGGCUGUGCAGGCGAUCAUCAGUGACCUUGGGCUUGUGGACGCUCCGGAUCGUCGACUCAUGGCCUGGGGGGAGGACGUGGAGUUCAGCUCGCGCGCCGCGUUCAGGGUCAUGUCCCCCCACGGGGUGCUCUACCAGUCUUCCAUCGACAUCUGGAGUUCGCGUCUCCUGCGGAAGAUCAAGAUCUUCGCGUGCCUUCUGGUCCGGGACCGCCUUAGUACCCGGAAGAACCUGCAUGCGAAGAGUUGCACCCCCUCCAGCACGUGCGCCUCCUGCCCCAACGAGGAGUCCACUUCUCACAUCUUCGCCGCCUGCGGUCGUGCGGUUUCGACCUGGACUCGCCUCGGUCUGGGCCCUUUCCCCUCGGUGGAUGCGAUCCUCGCCUCUCCCUCGCCGUCCGCCGACGUGGCUGCGUUGUGGAAAGAUGGGCUCUACGUGCUUCUCUGGCAGAUCUGGAAGGCCAGGAACAACGCCACCUUCAACAACAUACGCUGCACCGCCUGUGAUAUCCUCGCGAGGACGGCCGACGACCUCCUGAUUUGGAGCAGGCGCUAUGACGCUCCGUCUCGGGAUCGACUUCUGGCCAUCCGACUUUUCUUUCUCUCAGUCCUCUAG
rnacentral:rRNA from 1 species